UAAAUAUUUACUCAGGUAAGGCAAUUCUGCUGCAUUAAUACGCUUUGAAUUUAAUAUUUACUAAGGUAAAGCCACCUUUUUUUUUAUAGUAAUACGAUUUAAUUAGAUAUCUUAUCCGGUAGGGAAACUUUGUUAAUACGCAAAAUGAUUUAUAUAUAUUUAGUUAUUUUUUUAUUAUUUUUUAUUUUAAUUGAAUAUUUACUCAGGUAGGAUAACUUUUUAUAUUAUUUCGAGUUUCUUGGUUUUAUUAAAUAUCUUAUCCGGUAGGGGAGCAUUCAUAUUUUAGUAAUUUUAAUUUGAUUUUAAUUGUAUAUUCACUAAGGUAUGGCAACUUUGAUAUUAUUUUAAGUUUCACGAUUUUGAAAAAAUAUAUUUCCGGGAAAAGCUUAAAGUCGCAGGGCGAUGGCUAUUCGCCCAGGUCUAGUUUCUAGCGGCAAGUAAUGAAACACAUAAAACACAUUUUAAUAACCAGAUACUGAUUCGCUGUCAACUUGGCUAAAUGCGUUUCUGUUUAGCCAACUCAUGUUGAUUAAGUAGAUUAACCGUUUGACAAGGGAACCUCUGAAACGGGAUAGUGGAGAAAUAAAAAGUGGGUGUUUCGCCUCUUUUUCAAGUGGCACUCGGCACUUUACUUUUCAAGAAUAGUAAAAGUAACUAACGUUCGUCUUCUGGCCACUCUUAUUUCCUUUCUUAAGGGCCUCUGUUCGCCGCAAUUUUGUCAUUCUACCAAAGUACCAACUGUCGCGAUCUUUUUUGUAUUGAAUUCAGUAAAUUAGAAUGAGACUUUAUUUUUUAACCAAAGUAUAGCUGGCAAUUGCCCCCCAUGUAUCCAGUUCAAAUCCAGGGGUAUUGGGCACCACAAACACAAUUCGCAGCAAACCGUUUAUUUUUCGUUAUUGAAGAUACAAUACUUUCCUAAGCACAUUAAAUAGUCAAACUGAGCUUAUGGGAUGUACUUAGGAGCUUAAUGACCAACAAAUCCGAUAACAUAAUGAUGAGAUGUGUCAACUAGUUUGUGAUAAUACUAAAACUCAAUGAAUGUUGUGUAAUCCACCAAUGUUCACAAUGUGUUUGCCUAAAUUGCUGGUCCAAGCUUUUGGUCACUGCGAGCUUUUAUUGUUGUUCACACACAUGCAAGUGUAAAGAGCCCUUUUUUUUCAAAAUGCGUUUAUUGAAACCUUAUGUAUGAUAACCUGUUAUUGUAAAAGCAUCUCUAAAUAUCAACAAAGGUGUGGCUUACAAGGACUCUUUAAGAACUAUCCAACAAACACCACUCUAAGUCUCUAAAUCUAAUCUCUAUAGUUUUUUCUUAAAUCGGCCCAGCAUAUGUCCUAUUUCAAGACAAUAGCUAGGACAAGUUGACAAUAAACUAUGUAGUUCAGGAA